rnacentral:rRNA from 1 species
AUACGGAGGGGGUUAGCGUUGUUCGGAAUUACUGGGCGUAAAGCGCACGUAGGCGGACUGGAACGUUGGGGGUGAAAUCCCGGGGCUCAACCCCGGAACUGCCUCCAAAACUUCCAAUCUAGAGAUCGAGAGAGGUAAGUGGAAUUCCUAGUGUAGAGGUGAAAUUCGUAGAUAUUAGGAGGAACACCAGUGGCGAAGGCGGCUUACUGGCUCGAUACUGACGCUGAGGUGCGAAAGCGUGGGGAGCAAACAGGAUUAGAAACCCUAGUAGUCC